GAUGAACGCUGGCGGCGUGCCUAAUACAUGCAAGUCGAGCGAACAGACGAGGAGCUUGCUCCUCUGACGUUAGCGGCGGACGGGUGAGUAACACGUGGAUAACCUACCUAUAAGACUGGGAUAACUUCGGGAAACCGGAGCUAAUACCGGAUAAUAUAUUGAACCGCAUGGUUCAAUAGUGAAAGACGGUUUUGCUGUCACUUAUAGAUGGAUCCGCGCCGCAUUAGCUAGUUGGUAAGGUAACGGCUUACCAAGGCAACGAUGCGUAGCCGACCUGAGAGAGUGUGCUGCGCCACUGUGGCUGAGACACGGUCCCCACUCCUACAGGAGACGCCGCAAGGGAAUCUUCCGCGAUAUGGGAGAACGUGUCGGGGCGACACCCCGCGAGUGAUGAAGGUCUUCGGAUCGUAAAACUCUGUUAUUAGGGAAGAACAAAUGUGUAAGUAACUAUGCACGUCUUGACGGUACCUAAUCAGAAAGCCACGGCUAACUACGUG
rnacentral:rRNA from 1 species